CGCGGCCUAUCAGCUUGUUGGUGAGGUAAUGGCUCACCAAGGCUUCGACGGGUAGCCGGCCUGAGAGGGCGACCGGCCACAUUGGGACUGAGAUACGGCCCAAACUCCUACGGGAGGCAGCAGUGGGGAAUAUUGCACAAUGGGCGAAAGCCUGAUGCAGCAACGCCGCGUGCGGGAUGACGGCCUUCGGGUUGUAAACCGCUUUCAUCCAUGACGAAGCUUUUUGUGACGGUAGUGGAAGAAGAAGCACCGGCUAACUACGUGCCAGCAGCCGCGGUGAUACGUAGGGUGCGAGCGUUGUCCGGAUUUAUUGGGCGUAAAGAGCUUGUAGGCGGUUUGUUGCGUCGGUAGUGAAAACUCAGGGCUUAACCCUGAGCCUGCUUCCGAUACGGGCAGACUUGAGGAAGGUAGGGGAGAAUGGAAUUCCUGGUGGAGCGGUGGAAUGCGCAGAUAUCAGGAGGAACACCAGUGGCGAAGGCGGUUCUCUGGGCCUUUCCUGACGCUGAGAAGCGAAAGCGUGGGGAGCAAACAGGAUUAGAUACCCUGGUAGUCCACGCCGUAAACGGUGGGUACUAGGUGUGGGGGACAUUCCACGUUCUCCGUGCCGCAGCUAACGCAUUAAGUACCCCGCCUGGGG
rnacentral:rRNA from 1 species